rnacentral:rRNA from 1 species
GACGAACGCUGGCGGCGUGCCUAAUACAUGCAAGUUGAGCGAUGAAGAUUGGUGCUUGCACCAAUUUGAAGAGCAGCGAACGGGUGAGUAACGCGUGGGGAAUCUGCCUUUGAGCGGGGGACAACAUUUGGAAACGAAUGCUAAUACCGCAUAACAACUUUAAACAUAAGUUUUAAGUUUGAAAGAUGCAAUUGCAUCACUCAAAGUUGAUCCCGCGUUGUAUUAGCUAGUUGGUGAGGUAAAGGCUCACCAAGGCGAUGAUACAUAGCCGACCUGAGAGGGUGAUCGGCCACAUUGGGACUGAGACACGGCCCAAACUCCUACGGGAGGCAGCAGUAGGGAAUCUUCGGCAAUGGACGAAAGUCUGACCGAGCAACGCCGCGUGAGUGAAGAAGGUUUUCGGAUCGUAAAACUCUGUUGGUAGAGAAGAACGUUGGUGAGAGUGGAAAGCUCAUCAAGUGACGGUAACUACCCAGAAAGGGACGGCUAACUACGUG